GGCGCGGUACCCAAGUGGCAAGGGAGCAGUUUGCAAAACUGUCAUGCGCCGGGUCGCUUCCGGCACGCGCCU
rnacentral:tRNA from 1 species